rnacentral:lncRNA from 1 species
GGCCCAACAGAGGUGCUUUCUUCCCUGCAAGCUAAAGGAGGUGCCCCCGCCGUUGAUCUGUCUAGAAGUAAGCAAGGCCACCGCGUGGGGUGCACUACUACAGAAAAGGUUGUCAGUAACGGUCAAAAACGUACAUCAGUAACGGGUAGGCCGCCCGUCACUAACUUGAUGUCAUUGAUGUGUUUAACAUCAGUGACGGGCGGCCGGCUUGUUACUGAUGCUAUAUAGCAUUAGUGGCGGGCAUCCCUCUUGACCGACAGCGAUAACAUUUUGAGGAUUUAAAAAAAAAGCAGGCCCGUCGCCUGCAAAUUUCACAAAUCACAGAUAGCCAAGCCUGCAUAUUUUCAUCAUCGCCGACCAGAACAUAUCGCAAAUCAUAGAAUAAGCAUCCCAGAUCAUGGAUUACAGCAGGAAAAAUCACAAAAAAAUCACGAAAAAAAGCCGAAGCUCUCCAUAGCCUGAUCCAGCCACAUCGCCCUCCAUGGCAGUAUGGCGGCAGAGGAGAGCGCCUCCCUCCAUGGCAGCAGCUCCUUGGUCGAGGGUAGGGAACGCCAGAUCCGCGCGUCGAGGUGGGGGGAGGCCGGAUCCGGCGAUGUAGAGGUUGGGGAACGCCGAAUCCAUUCCUGGAACAAACACUGCCGAGAAAUCAAUCGCAGAGAGAGAGAGCGACAGAGAGAGAGAGAGACUUACCGGAGGGAGAGAGGGUACUGGCAGGAGAGAGGGUACCGGCGGCAGUGCGGCGCGGGUGGCGGUGGGGGAGGCCGGAUCCGGCGAUGUAGAGGCCGGGGAACGCCGAAUCCGUCCCUGGAACAAACACGGCCGAGAAAUCAAUCGCAGAGAGAGAGAGAGAGAGAGAGAGAGACUUACCGGCGGGAGAGAGGGUAUCGGCGGCAAUGCGACGCGGGUGGCGGCGGGGGAGGCCGGAUCCAGCCGGGUCGGCGGCGCGUGGAGGCGGACGUGAUGAUGGCCAGCGUCGAUGACGCGAAGCAGGGAGGAGGGCUCGAAGCAGGGAGGAGAGAAGAGAAGGGCGGAGGACUCGGCCGGAGUCAAUCACCCGCGGCUAGAUCCAGAGAAGGGAGGAGAGAGUUUGGGGGAGAGGAGAGAGUUCGGUUGAGACUUGAGAGAUAUCGUUGGAGAGAGGGAGAGUGUGUGGCGG